rnacentral:rRNA from 1 species
UGCAGUCGAGCGCCCCGCAAGGGGAGNGGCAGACGGGUGAGUAACGCGUGGGAANCUACCUUUUGCUACGGAAUAACUCAGGGAAACUUGUGCUAAUACCGUAUGUGCCCUUCGGGGGAAAGAUUUAUCGGAGNUGGAUGRGCCCGCGUUGGAUUAGCUAGUUGGUGRGGUAAAGGCYYACCAAGGCGACGAUCCAUAGCUGGUCUGAGAGGAUGAUCAGCCACANUGGGACUGAGACACGGCCCANACUCCUACGGGAGGCAGCAGUGGGGAAUAUUGGACAAUGGGCGCAAGCCUGAUCCAGCCAUGCCGCGUGAGUGAUGAAGGCCCUAGGGUUGUAAAGCUCUUUCACCGGUGAAGAUAAUGACGGUAACCGGAGAAGAAGCCCCGGCUAACUUCGUGCCAGCA